CUGUGUGCUUUCAGCCCAGUUUAGCACAAAAAACCCUGCUGGACGUUUAUACAAAGGCCUGUGGGUCUGCAUUUAGGCCAAUGUGUGGUAUUUUUGUUUUGAAGCAGGGAGUCCUGACUCGUCGCCUGAUUCUUCCCCCCGAGUGAUUCUUCCUGUGGUGGGUGUCUGCCUCAUGCUGAUUUUGCUGAUGCUGCUCUGCCUCUGGAGGAGCCACAAAGAUAAAGUGAACCCUGCUGUCUCGUACACUGACAUUACCGCCACACAGGAAGUGAAACCUCGUACAUUCAGAGAUAUGAACUCUGAGGCGUCCUUCUACUCAACACUCAGUCUGGCAAACAUGUGCCAGGAAACACCUAAAGACUCCAGAUUAAGUGUUUAAGCUUUUUAUUUAUUUAUUCUUUGUAUUAACGUGAAGAAAUGUUUGUGGAGAUUUCAAAGAAUUUUCUUCAGCAGCUAAAAUUUCUUGACAUUUCUUAAAAUUUGCACAAAUCUGUCAUUUUGUCACUUUCGGUCAGUUCAUAUCUCUUUGCAGUUGGGUUGUAUAUGAAAUGAUUGUUGUUAGUCUUUGUUGGAGGUGUGUUUACUUCAGUCAUGUUACAUUUUCAUUUUUUUUAUUGUUAAGAGUUUGUCUUUGUAGUGUCUUUGUCUUUCUUCGUCAUUUUUUCCAGCGGUUUUGUAGAUAUCACUCUUAUUUCUGUUUGUUACUUUGAAGCAACCACAAAGAGCUUGAGUAACUUUGAAGUUUUUUUGUAGUCCUAGUGGUUUUUUUGUUGGUUUGUUUUUUUGCUUUUUAAAAUUUUCUGUCGAACAUGUGAUGUAAUUUAGCAACAUUGUACCAACUUUUUUCGAUUUAAAGUUUUCUUUUUCUGAUUUUAUCUUUCUGUAGUCCGUUUCUCUUUAGAGUAGCUGUUCAUUGCUCUGCAGCUUAGGGCGUUUGCAUCUCUUCAUCGUCUUUUUUGUGUGUUCUUUAAUACACUGAACACAACUUCUGGCUCAGAAGUUUUGCUGUAAGAAAACUUUCAGUUACCCAAAAGCAAAAAUGUGAAUGCCUUGAUUUGGAAAUCAGUGCUUGUAAUAGGCCUUGUACUUUCUGUUGCUACAUUCACUGAUUUUGUCUUGUUAUGAUAGUAAUGUGAUCUUAACGAACAAUAAAACCACCAAA